GGUCUGGUGGUGUAGUUGGUUAUCACGUCAGUCUAACACACUGAAGGUCUCCGGUUCAAGUCCGGGCUAGAUCA
rfam:Colletotrichum tofieldiae strain 0861 Ct_v4_contig37, whole genome shotgun sequence.